UAGUCGGAGGUGUGUCUCGGACGGUUGGUUCGCUGCUUGUCGGUGCUUAACUGGCCGGUCCGGACGUCCUGCCGGUGGGGAUGUCAAAAGUCCCCGUUAUCCUUCUUAGGUGCUCUUCACCGAGUGCCUUGGUGGGCCGGCACGUUUACUUUGAACAAAUUAGAGUGCUCAAAGCAGGCCGUUGGUCGCCUGAAUACUGUGUGCAUGGAAUAAUGGAAUAGGACCUCGGUUCCAUUUUGUUGGUUUUCAGAACUCGAGGUAAUGAUUAAUAGGGACGGACGGGGGCAUUCGUAUUGCGACGUUAGAGGUGAAAUUCUUGGAUCGUCGCAAGACGAACCGAUGCGAAAGCAUUUGCCAAGAACGUUUUCGUUGAUCAAGAACGAAAGUUAGAGGUUCGAAGGCGAUCAGAUACCGCCCUAGUUCUAACCAUAAACGAUGCCAGCUAGCCAUCCGCCGAAGUUCCUUCUAUGACUCGGCGGGCAGCUUCCGGGAAACCAAAGCUCUUGGGUUCCGGGGGAAGUAU
rnacentral:rRNA from 1 species